UUCAGUUAGCCCAGGCUGCAGUGGCUGCAGGUUAAGAUCCUGGCAGGUGAAGCUAAGCAGGGUUGGGCUGGGUUGGUGUUUGGAUGGGAGACUCUUUCAGGAAGCCCAAGUGCUGCUGGAA
rnacentral:rRNA from 1 species